GCCGCCCACAGAGGGGCGCCUGCCUUCCCGGGGUGAGGACGCUGCCAGGCUCCCAGCUCUGGAGUCACCGCCCCGUGCCAGGGGCAAGAGUUGACGGAAAUCAUAGCUGUUGCCAACGAAUGUAUCUAAGUCUGCCGGUGAGUGUGCCCAGGCCCGCCUGUAACUUUGGAGGUGUAUGGUACCACCGUUCAAGUAGAGGUGAACACCUCCAAGACUGUAUGAAUUUGAACACAGAGCAGCAAGACACUGGAUGAUUGGCCCUAUUCGGAAGUGAUACUUCAUGAUGAAAAAAUAUAUGCAUCCAUGCUACCUGCAAGGGAGAAUGUGACAAGAGAAUUCAACUUCUCUUUCUCUUCCCUAAGCAUUUCUGCUGUUCAGCUCCUCCUUGUGCUAUAAAACAGAGUCAGCACUGAACCCGGCGUGGUACAGCCCUCAAACCCUCACUGCAUUCAAACUUGAUUGCUUUUGUUCCAAGGACAUAAGGCUUUUUGAUUCCUGAAUCUGUUGGAAAUAGCUUUGGACUGAAUGGGGAUUAGGGGUGAUCAAGAUCUUCCAAGAUAUACUUACACCUUCCCUGGGGAAUCCUGAAUGGAAACCUGAGUUGGAAAGGAGGAAACGGGGCGGUGACACCUGGCUGCAGAGGGGGAAGGAAACAGGGAGAUAUGGAUUCAUUUAGAUGACAUACGUGGAGCAUUUAUGUGUCACCCGCUGUGAACGGCACUGGCACUAUGAUGGUGAGCAAGACAGGAAGUCCCUAUACUCCUAGACUGUAUUCAUUACAUGAUCACACAAUUAACAUUGAAUUAUAAUUUUGAUAAGAGGUAAGAAGGUCAAAGACAGGUGCUUAGAGAAUAUUUCACAGAUCAACUGGAACCCAGGCUUCCAGGAGGAAAAGGCAUUAUAAGGAUGAUAGAAGGCCUUGGUCUGUGAAAAGCGGGAGGUGGGGAGGGGGAAGGGGAGAGAUGGUAGGGGGAGGGGAGUGGGCAGUGUGGUUGCUUGACCUUUAUUGUGUUCUGAGUCUGAGUCCUUGUGUAUGAAAUGGGGAUGAUAUUUACUCCUCAGGGAGGGGCGGAGUGAUAUGACAUGAGAAUAUGUGGUAGCUAGUACACAGGCUGCACCCAGGCUGCCCUGCCUACGGUCAGCCCCCUCCCCAUUACAGUUCAACCCAGUUUACUUUCUCCAGCUCAUUCCUGGGUUUGGCUUCUUGACAGAAAGCCUAUUAGAAAAGUUCCAACCAGGGACUCUUUGAUUUCCUCUUUUCCUGUCAGUCUGAAACUCCAAAAGGCAGAAAUCCCUGGGUUUUAUUCUGGGUAAUGAAGGUGGAGUUUGGGGGCUGCAUAUUUUUCACUUGGAUAGCAUCUCACAGCGUAUUUUCCCAGAGAAACCCUCCCCUAUCCCUGUUCUGCUGGAAGCUGUGGGCUAGCCAGACAGUGAUGUAUCUGUCAUCCCGCCGGACUCAGCCCAGAAAGAAGCCCAGGUGGAGAAAAUAAGAGUAAAUCAAACCAUAUGGGAAGUGAACUGGCUUUGGGGGCUGCUUACUCUUCUCCUUGCAUAGAGGGGAAACAGAUAUGUCUUUAUCCCUUUCCCACUGUGGGCUUUCUUCUUUUUAGGGGUGCUGAAUGCAGGUUGAGAGCCAGCCCCCUCCCAAAGUUUCUAGGGUCUGGGGUAGAAGUAUCACAUACCAUAUGUCUCCAAAUAAAAGUUCCAUAUCACACCAAUAAAGUGUUUAAAAGAUGCUCUAUCUUCCUAACUUGACAAAAUAGACCAUUAUAACACAAAAUAAGGUAUAUUUAAAGUCAUGGUUUUUAUGACUAGAAGCUGGCAAAAAUAUCAAAGAUCACUGAAUUUAAUUAUUGCAUAUUUCUGCGUGUUCUAUUUGUGUCAGUGACGUUUGAAUAAAGACAUUUGCAAUUUACAUGAUUCUAUGCAUUUAUUUUCCAAAUCAACUUUGAUUUGGAGAAACUGCUCUGAUAAGGAGUUGCACAUGGAAUUGUCAAGCAACAUUUAGGUUCAUUUCUGAAUCUAAAAGUCCUGUGGUAGGCUAAAUAGUCACAUUUAAGUAUUCAUUUUACCUACUACAUUCACCUGUAAUGAGGCCACAUGUACAGAAAGCCCUCAAUUAACAUUGUGGAGAAGUUCUUGGAAACCGCAGCUUUAGGUAAAAUAUACAGGUCCUCGAAUGUCGUCAUUGGUUCUACAUCAUUUUGUUAUAAUGUUGAUGAGGACAAAAAAACGGCUUUUGUGUAGUUUCACUUAAACUUGUAGUUUCCAAGAACCUAGUGAUAAUUACUGAGACUUACUAUAAACAGUAUCCCAGAAAAUUACAAAUUAUCUUCACCUUAUUGUAUAAAUAUUCCUUAUAUUACAAUUUUCCCUAUCUCUUAAAGCAAUUUCUAGAUCAUACAGUAUUUCUUGAACUGUUCUUUCAAGUUUUUCAAUUCUCAGAUAUUAUAAGGAAACUUUCUUAAAAGCAGUAUUUUCCUCAAUUUGUUCUGACCUCAUUCAAUCAAGAUUAUACCCUGACCUGUAAUGGUCAAAAAAUGGUUUAUAAACAAGUUAGUUUGGGAGUACUUGCAUGUGAAUCUUCUCUUUCAUAGUCAUGUAAAACAUUUUUGUUUUAUUGUUUCGGUUUCUUUAUAUUUCAUUGGAAUGCCAUUUUUGUUGUAUAUUUCACAUGCAUUUUUGUUUGGGGAAAGCAGUUUCUAAAACCUGUAAUACUUCAGUUGUUAAAGUAAAUUAGACAAGCGUAGAUUCCUUUUUUUUUGUGGUAAUAGUAAAAAAUAGUUCAAACUAAGUAACUAUAGAUGGUGCUUAUUCAAAAUUAUUUUCAUUUUCUCCCAAGAUCACAAUUUCCUUUUAUUUCUUUUUUAAAAUUUUUUCCCACAAUU